rnacentral:lncRNA from 1 species
CCGCAGCUCCAGGCAGGUGCUGCAGAGCCCGGCUCCAAUGGGGCAGCACGGGGAGGGCAGAGCAGAGCAGAGCAGAGCAGAGCACACCUCCAUUGCUGGGUCAUUGCCCAGGUCAGCAGCCAGCCUGCCCUCGCCAAGCCUUGCGUCUGUGCAGGGUCUGUUCCAUCAGCUUUGGGUUCUGAUGAGCUCUUAGUUUUCUGAGGAAACUCCUGAGGAUCUGGUGAAGUUUUCUUGCGUUCUCAAGUCCCUGUUCCUUAAAGCACAUCACGGUGGUGCUGUGAAGGAACCUGGCGGUUCCCAGCCUCCUGCUGAGCCUCCCCAGCUGCUGGCCUGCCCAGCAUUCCGGGCAUACCUCUCCUCUGUUGCCUCCGAUGAAGUCAUCAUCUCCACUUCUCUUAUUCCUGGCUUGUUCCGAGUGCCAUGGCAUGUGUGCUGCUGACAAGAACAGCUUCCUUUUGAGUCCCCCCCCGAGAGGUGUGGGCAGAGGCGCAGUAUGCCCAGCGGGGUCGCGGAGCGGAACCCCACCAUGGAGCCUGCAGCCACAACGCCCUUCCGCGUCACGGGGUUCCUCAGCCGUCGGCUUAAAGGCUCCAUCAAAAGGACAAAGAGCCAACCGAAGCUCGAUAGGAACAGCAGCUUCCGGCACAUCUUACCUGGCUUCAGGAGCGUGGACAAUGAGAGGUGAGCAGCCGUUCCUCGGGAUGGGAUGGGAUGGGAUGGGAUGGGAUGGGAUGGGAUGGGAUGGGAUGGGAUGGGAUGGGAUGGGAUGGGAUGGCCGCUUUUUGCAGCCUUUGUUAACCCUGUGUCAUCUUAUUGGGAGCAACAGCACAUCUGUGAUAGAAGUAGACUUGCUUAAUUGCAUUAGGUGUCAUUUUAAUGCAUUGGCAAGCACACAGUGCGAGCCCUCCCUUUUUAGGUUGAGUAGAAUGGACUGAGGUGCCCAUCUGAUGGGCUUUCCUCUCCCCACUACACCCGAAGUUGUUGCUCUGGCACAGGCAGAGCAUGGAGAUGUAGCAGCCGCCGAGCGCUGCGGGCAUGGGAAGGAGGGAGGGAGCAGCUCCGGCUCAGCCCUUGUAUGGACAAUAACAGCUGUGAUGUCCCCAGAUCCCUUUCCCUUUCCACGCUGGCACUCCUGUGCAGCCCUGUGUCUCUGCUUCCAGGCAGCCCAUGGCAGGGAGCCCUGCUGUGUAGGUUGGCUGGUGGUGGAGCAAACUGCACACAAAAUAAAGGGGGAAACGAGACCUAGUGGUUAUUUUCC